GCUAAAAUACCUUAUUUUAGCAAUUUGAGGGUUGUAACUUGACACUAACAUAAUUGUUACAUAAAAAAAAUAAUGUAACAUGAUUUCUGACAACAAAUGUGACCAAUUUUCACUGUAAAGGGUAUGAUUUCUAAAAAUAGAAUUUCACAUGCCUGUCAGUAAUAGGUAUAAAACCACUAAUUCAUAGCCCCAUUGCUUUCUAUGUUAAAUUCUGCAAUUUCAAGCAUAAAUGGCUACUUUGUCUGAAGUUCAAAUAAAGUGGCAGUUAUUUCAUGUCAAAACUGUACCUUAUGCUGA